rnacentral:rRNA from 1 species
AUUGAACGCUGGCGGCAUGCCUUACACAUGCAAGUCGAACGGUAACAGGUCUUCGGAUGCUGACGAGUGGCGAACGGGUGAGUAAUACAUCGGAACGUGCCUAGUAGUGGGGGAUAACUACUCGAAAGAGUGGCUAAUACCGCAUGAGAUCUACGGAUGAAAGCAGGGGAUCGCAAGACCUUGUGCUACUAGAGCGGCCGAUGGCAGAUUAGGUAGUUGGUGGGAUAAAAGCUUACCAAGCCGACGAUCUGUAGCGGGUCUGAGAGGACGAUCAGGCACACUGGGACUGAGACACGGCCCAGACUCAUACGGGAGGCAGCAGUGGGGAAUUUUGGACAAUGGGCGAAAGCCUGAUCCAGCAAUGCCGCGUGCAGGAUGAAGGCCUUCGGGUUGUAAACUGCUUUUGUACGGAACGAAAAGCCCUGGGUUAAUACCCUGGGGUCAUGACGGUACCGUAAGAAUAAGCACCGGCUAACUACGUGCCAGCCGCCGCCGUAA